CUCUCAACGUUAACCAUGUUGGACCGUCGGAUGGAUUUCUGAGUACUUCACCCUCCUGGUUGUUAGCAUUAAGUCUAAUUUACAGCCAUGUCUUCUUUGGGAUUACCUUUGUUUUCUAUAACAUCAGGUUUUGAGAUGUUAUAUUAUCUUUUACCAGUAAAUAAUACUUUUCUGGAAUUACAUCAUUAUGACAAGCAAAUUUAUUUUUUUUACCAGUGUGAAUAGGUUCUUGACUGCUUGCUCACGAGUUCUUCUUUGUUUAUAGUUUUCAUAAACUUCGUCCAGGAGCAGCAAGGCAACAUACAACAGAUUGUCCACAAGAACUAUGUUCAUAAUCAGGGCUACUUCUUGGACAAGUCGGCAUCAUAUUUUGCUGAUUUAUGGGAUUCAAGUGGCACGUUUGUGAUUAGGCAUGUAUUUUAGAAGAAAAAAUGUCAAGAUAUUUGUCUUAAGAAUGGAUUUGAUAGUCAAAAUAGAACAAAGUUUCCAAAAUAAAUCACAAGGAGAUUCCAUGAUAUGGAGCACAAGUCCCCGACGAAACAAUCCGAGGUAAUCAAAUCCAGUCCAACCCAACUAUCUGAUGCCCACCCUAUUCGAACGAACAAUGCCACUCCUAUGUACAUGAUUGUCUGAACUAAGAUCAUAAAUGGAAAUGCAUAACUCGGAGGCAACACGGCAGUCGAGGAGAUGGUUGGUCUAUGCAUGUGAGGCUAAAUUCUCUUACACUUUCACCAUCUUAUAAGCCAUAUUUCAUUUCGUUUAUUUCCAGACUUUUCAGUUUUGUAAUAUGCUUAUUAGGCACUCAUCAAUCGAUAUUUUUUCGUGUGUCUAUUGAUUAAUGAUCUUAGUACAAUGCAUUAAGUCUAAUUAUAUUGUUUUAUCAUGUUUUGCAGGUCGUAUGCAGUUACCUUGCAAAUUGCAAAGCAUAUUGCCGGUUGUAAAGGUUAGAAUGAGAGUUAGCAGAUAAUGCUGAUAGCGUUGGUCAAGAGAUUCAACAAUGUAAUCAUCUUGCUACGAACACCGGAGUCCUUCAAAUUUUCCCCUGAAACCCAUUGGUACUUAGCUAGGAAAUUGUUGAAGUUCAGUUAGCAAAAUUGACUACUGCUGUAGGCACUCAACUUCUGAGACCAAUUCAACAAGAUUUAAUUGGAAGCUUGUCGUGGUCAUUUUCAUGGUGGUGGUACUGGUACCUCCUAUUUCAACCAAACUACCACUCUCGGACAUGCACUUCUAUUUACUGCAUUUUUAACUCAUUGGUGUCAUAGUGUUUGUGUGUGUUUAUGAAGGCGAAAGCUUGAAGAUAUCCGUUCAAGUUUAUUUGCGGCCAAUGUGUUUUUGGUGCCGCUAGCUUACAUGAUAACAAGACAUGAACUAAAUGCUUUUGUUUGAUCUAAUUAAUCAUGUAGAUGUGAAGUUCAUGCUAUUUGUAAACUGAACCUUGAAAUGAAGUGAACAAACAGUCCUAUUGUCAAGUCGUAUCGAUACGGAGUGGUUGAUUCAAACCAGGGCCGGGAGAGAAAAUGUGACCCGAGAAGAAUGCGAUCACUGCUGCUCCCACGCUCAUUGGCCGAAGCAACAAAC